rnacentral:tRNA from 1 species
GUGGUCGGGCGCAUCAGCCUUCCAAGCUGAUGGUGCGGGUUCGAUUCCCGUCGCCCGCU